UACGUAGGGUGCAAGCGUUAAUCGGAAUUACUGGGCGUAAAGGGCUCGUAGGCGGCCAACUAAGUCCGACGUGAAAUCCCUGGGCUCAACCCAGGAACUGCGUCCGAUACUGGCAGGCUUGAAUCCGGGAGAGGGAUGCGGAAUUCCAGGUGUAGCGGUGAAAUGCGUAGAUAUCUGGAGGAACACCGGUGGCGAAGGCGGCAUCCUGGACCGGCAUUGACGCUGAGGCGCGAAAGCCAGGGGAGCAAACGGG
rnacentral:rRNA from 1 species